rnacentral:rRNA from 1 species
GACGAACGCUGGCGGCGUGCUUAACACAUGCAAGUCGAACGGUAAGGCCCUUCGGGGUACACGAGUGGCGAACGGGUGAGUAACACGUGGGUGAUCUGCCCUGCACUUCGGGAUAAGCCUGGGAAACUGGGCCUAAUACCGGAUAGGACUCCGGACUGCAUGGUCUGGGGUGGAAAGCUUUUGCGGUGUGGGAUGGGCCCGCGGCCUAUCAGCUUGUUGGUGGGGUGAUGGCCUACCAAGGCGACGACGGGUAGCCGGCCUGAGAGGGUGACCGGCCACACUGGGACUGAGAUACGGCCCAGACUCCUUCGGGAGGCAGCAGUGGGGAAUAUUGCACAAUGGGCGCAAGCCUGAUGCAGCGACGCCGCGUGAGGGAUGACGGCCUUCGGGUUGUAAACCUCUUUCAGCAUCGACGAAGCGAAAGUGACGGUAGGUGCAGAAGAAGGACCGGCCAACUACGUGCCAGCAGCCGCCGCCG